GACCUCAAAUCAGGUAGGACUACCCGCUGAACUUAAGCAUAUCAAUAAGCGGAGGAAAAGAAACUAACAAGGAUUCCCCUAGUAACUGCGAGUGAAGCGGGAAAAGCUCAAAUUUAAAAUCUGGCAGAUGUUUGUCUGUCYGAGUUGUAACCUAGAGAAGUGUAACCUGUGCUGGACCAUGUACAAGUCUCCUGGAAUGGAGCAUCAUAGAGGGUGAGAAUCCCGUCUUUGACAUGGACUACCAGUGCACUGUGGUUGCGCACUCAACGAGUCGAGUUGUUUGGGAAUGCAGCUCUAAAUGGGUGGUAAAUUCCAUCUAAAGCUAAAUAUUGGCGAGAGACCGAUAGCGAACAAGUACCGUGAGGGAAAGAUGAAAAGAACUUUGGAAAGAGAGUUAAACAGUAUGUGAAAUUGUUGAAAGGGAAACGCUUGAAGUCAGCUGCAUUGGCUGGGGAUCAAGCCAGCUUAUUUGCUGGGUGUACUUCCUGGUUGAUGGGCCAACAUCAGUUUUGACCAUCAGAGAAAGGCUAAGGGAAUGUGGCACCUU
rnacentral:rRNA from 1 species